AUGAACGCUGGCGGCGUGCCUAAUACAUGCAAGUCGAGCGAACAGACGAGGAGCUUGCUCCCUUGACGUUAGCGGCGGACGGGUGAGUAACACGUGGGUAACCUACCUAUAAGACUGGGAGAACUUCGGGAAACCGGGGCUAAUACCGGAGAAUAUUUCGAACCGCAUGGUUCGGUAGUGAAAGAUGGCUUUGCUAUCACUUAUAGAAGGACCUGCGCCGUAUUAGCUAGUUGGUAAGGUAAAGGCUUACCAAGGCAACGAUACGUAGCCGACCUGAGAGGGUGAUCGGCCACACUGGAACUGAGACACGGUCCAGACUCCUACGGGAGGCAGCAGUAGGGAAUCUUCCGCAAUGGGCGAAAGCCUGACGGAGCAACGCCGCGUGAGUGAUGAAGGUCUUCGGAUCGUAAAACUCUGUUAUUAGGGAAGAACAAACGUGUAGGUAACUGUGCACGUCUUGACGGUACCUAAUCAGAAAGCCACGGCUAACUACGUG
rnacentral:rRNA from 1 species